UUUCCGUAGGUGAACCUGCGGAAGGAUCAUUACAGAGAGAUUGCCCUCACGGGUAGCCCUCCAACCCUUUGCCAACCGUCGUUUGUUGCUUUGACGGGCCCGUCUCCGGACCGCCGGCGCUCGCUGGCCCGCGCCCGUCAGAGGAUCAUCCAACUCUGUCAAACUGUCUGAGAAGAAAUACAAUUAUCAAAACUUUCAACAACGGAUCUCUUGGUUCUGGCAUCGAUGAAGAACGCAGC
rnacentral:misc_RNA from 1 species